UACGAAGGGGGCUAGCGUUGCUCGGAUUGACUGGGCGUAAAGCGCACGUAGGCGGUUUUGUAAGUCAGGGGUGAAAUCCCGGGGCUCAACCUCGGAACUGCCUUUGAUACUGCAAAUCUCGAGUCCGGAAGAGGUGAGUGGAAUUCCUAGUGUAGAGGUGAAAUUCGUAGAUAUUAGGAAGAACACCAGUGGCGAAGGCGGCUCACUGGACCGGUACUGACGCUGAGGUGCGAAAGCGUGGGGAGCAAACAGG
rnacentral:rRNA from 1 species